rnacentral:rRNA from 1 species
UACGAGGGGGCGAGCGUUGUUCGGAUAUACUGGGCGUAAAGAGCUCGUAGGCGGUUUGUCGCGUCUGCCGUGAAAAUCCGGGGCUCAACUCCGGACCUGCAUUCGAUACGGGCAGACUAGAGUUCGGUAGGGGAGACUGGAAUUCCUGGUGUAGCGGUGAAAUGCGCAGAUAUCAGGAGGAACACCGGUGGCGAAGGCGGGACUCUGGGCCGAUACUGACGCUGAGGAGCGAAAGCAUGGGGGAGCGAACAGG